rnacentral:tRNA from 1 species
GCGGACGUGGCGGAAUUGGUAGACGCGCUACGUUCAGGUCGUAGUGGCCGAAAGGCCGUGUGGGUUCGAGUCCCACCGUCCGCACCA